CCACAAUGGCAGGAGACACCAUGAGAUGUUUUCUACUGUAGAAACUUUCUCAUUAGAAAUAGCCCAUUUAUACAGGGGACUGGCUAAUGUUUUUCUAUGAGUAUCAUUAGCCAGUGUCUCAAAGUGGUGAAGAGACUGCAACCUGGAACAAGGAGAGACAAAGGGAAGGAGGAGUCUGGAGCCAUAUUGAAGAUGAAAUUGAGAUAUGGACUAGGUGGUGGAUCGUUUUUAUAAGAGGACAUAAAAGAGGAUGCUAAAGCUAAUUGCCACAAUCAGAACUCAAAGACCUAGCAAAUGCAAGACACUGGCCACCUCCCUGAACCUGGGCCAAGAUGAGGGUCUACACCUUGGCUUAGUUCUACUAUGAAAGACUUUCCUGCAGUAAAAGUUACCUGUCUGAAACAUUCAGAAGAGUGAAAAUGCCACAUCUCCAAUUUCCAGCAAUAUAUUUGUCUGCCAUGAUUUGGCCUGGAAGCUUAAGCAGGAAGACCACUUGGAGCCAGACUUCAGAGUGAUCUGUCUCUAAGGAAUAACUUUCAUAUUGCAGCGUUCGGUUUUGCAAUUCUUCCUAAGCUACUCUAAAUUCGCAGCAUAAAUCUGCAGAAAGACUUCACCCUCCACAUCAAACCCUUAUAAGGAUCCAUUUCUGCUCUCAUUUUAGAAUAUCUUUUCUAAUAGCUAAAGGCAGACAGAGGCAAACCAAGAAAUCCAGACUUUGCAUCAACGGGUUAAAUCAUAUGUCAAAGGUGCAACCAUAACGUAUUACAAGCUUCUCAUCACAUAAUACAUCACUCAAGAAAAAAUAUUUGGGCAGCUUUUCUAAUUCAUCUUCCUGGUGUUAAAGGAGCACAUCUCCAGUGUUCGUGUCUUCUGUUUCAAUUAAAGCAAUCAUGCCUACUCUUUUAGGAAA
rnacentral:lncRNA from 1 species